UCUCCUCUCCUCCCUGCUCUCUCUGCUCUACCCUAGCACAUUGAGAAAGACAGCUUAAAUAGCUACUUUGAUCACGAUUUUGAGCGAUUUGAAGGCCGAUUCAGAAGAAGUUUUAGUUGAAGAAAAGAUAGAUCAAGGCAUGAUUUCAUCACUUUAAGGAGUCAUCUGGAGCUUCUGGAGUAGGAUUUGCCGUGCGAAGUGAACUACGAAGUUGAAGAUCAAGGUAAAAAAAUAUCAUCUGAGUAACAAACAAUGAUGAGAUGACGUGAUUGAAGAAAUUGUGUUUCGAUCUUCGAUGUCCCUUUUGAGGUUAACUCCAUUGAUAUAUUACUGGUGAUAUGUUCAUGCUGACGGAUUUUUUUUGAACUAUUGCGGCGCUUAAGUUUAUUCGGAACAACAUCUAUAUUGAAGCUGAGAUCAAUGAUGGCGGCGUUGCUACACCCACCUAUUUUGACAAUAUAAUGAAAAUAAGUUCCAUAAGUAUAUAAAGGAGUCCUUGAUCGCCAAAUUGGAAGGUUGCAUGAAAGGUGGAGAAAGGUAGUGGAGCCGAAGAGUGAAACUUUCAGGAUGAUUGCAACAAAGCAUCCAUUUUUAUGGACUGAAGAAAGCGAGGACAACGAUGAUAUCUUCAUGUCGCCGCUUCCGGGUUCUGCAUCCUCGAAGGCAAGAAUUCUGCAUCAUCCAAGGGAAAGAGUUCCGCGUCCUUGAAGGGCAAUAGUUCUGCAUCGACGGAGGAUGACGAUGAUGCCUUCAUGUAGUUUUUAAGCUACAUCCUCGAAGGGCAAGAUUGUCGUGGUUCUGAACGCUGGACAGAGGGACGUGGGGGACGAUGUGUGAGUUUAGUGUCUUAAUUUCUGCAGUUUCAUAUAGCUUUAUUUCACAAUCAUUUGUAUCUUAAUUUCUGCAGUUUAGUGUAGCUUUAUUUCAGUACUUAAAUGUAGCUUUAUUUCAAUAGUAUGAUGUAUCUUAAUUUCAGUUGUACCGUGUCUUAAUGAAAAAAAUAUAGUUUUACAAUAAAAUGUAGCAUUUUAUUUCCCUCCAGUAAUUAUCGAACGUCAUGCAACAAGUACAACAAGCACAAACUAAUAAUGCAAGUACAUCUGAAUUUAACAGGACUAGCGCAUUUUUAUUUCAGCGUACAUAAUGUUUCAUACAUAAGUCGAAAAGUAUGAUACUAACAUAUGUAGAUACAAUGGGUCGCACACGUUGAUAGAUGAAUCAUUUUAGCCGACGACGGCCACCUGGCCUUCCCUUCGGACCGGAAAGCUCCAAGUGAUUAGGUGGUCGAGUUACACGAAGACCGCGACCGUACUCCAGUUGGUCUUCCUGUGUCUGCGACUCCUGCAUAGGUGGUGGAGUCUGUAAUCCUUGUGACGAAUCUGAUGCGUAAUUUUAGGCGUAUGGUUGUUGUGGCUCCUCGGGGAUAAAAGAUGGGCCAAUAACGUCCUCUCCGAAGAAUUCUGUAACUACUGCAUUAAAAUUGUCGCCAUCAUCUUGCGAUGAUCCCUAUAUGCGUGUGUUGAGGCCAGAUUGGGUGUACUCAUCGUCCCAAUUUACAUUAGGUAA